rnacentral:antisense_RNA from 1 species
CUGCUGACAACGUUCUUGUGUCAACGUCAAACAAAUUAAUCCACGUCCAUAUGUCGCCAUAAAAUUGAUUGCUUCGGCACUGAUGUGCUCGGCAGCCAUAAUUA